GUGGGGAAUAUUGGACAAUGGGGGGAACCCUGAUCCAGCCAUGCCGCGUGUGUGAAGAAGGCCUUUUGGUUGUAAAGCACUUUAAGCGAGGAGGAGGCUACCGAGAUUAAUACUCUUGGAUAGUGGACGUUACUCGCAGAAUAAGCACCGGCUAACUCUGUGCCAGCAGCCGCGGUAAUACAGAGGGUGCAAGCGUUAAUCGGAUUUACUGGGCGUAAAGCGCGCGUAGGUGGCCAAUUAAGUCACAUGUGAAAUCCCCGAGCUUAACUUGGGAAUUGCAGUCGAUACUGGUUGGCUAGAGUAUGGGAGAGGAUGGUAGAAUACCAUGUGUAGCGGUGAAAUGCGUAGAGAUCUGGAGGAAUACCGAUGGCGAAGGCAGCUACCUGCGCAAACACUGACACUGAGGCGCGAAAGCGGGGGGAGCAAACAGGAUUAGAUACCCCAGUAGUCC
rnacentral:rRNA from 1 species